rnacentral:rRNA from 1 species
UACAGAGGGUGCAAGCGUUAAUCGGAAUUACUGGGCGUAAAGCGAGCGUAGUCGGUUAUUUAAGUCGGAUGUGAAAUCCCCGGGCUCAACCUGGGAAUUGCAUUCGAUACUGGAUAGCUAGAGUUCGGCAGAGGGAAGCGGAAUUUCUGGUGUAGCGGGGAAAUGCGUAGAUAUCAGAAGGAACAUCAGUGGCGAAAGCGGCUUCCUGGACCAGAACUGACGAUCAGGCUCGAAAGCGUGGGGAGCAAACAGG